CGUUGGGUGCGGUUGUGUUUUUGUAACGGCAGUCGAUCUUUAAAAGAUGGGAUCUAUGAACACAACCGCACCGAGACGCGUCGCGUUAAGGAAUGAUUCUGCCAGCGACUCCAAUAAGAUACUUUGGCUGUGGUCCUCGAGUUUCGAGACUUCGACUUUCUUAUCGCACGCACACGAAUUGGAGUAAUCGCGAGGCGUCGGCGUCAAGAAUCCGGGGGAUACACGGGGGUGUUCUUGGGAACCAAAGACCGAAGAACGAAGACUUGCCGGGCGUAAGGCCCGCCAGCUACUGCCCACAGAACUUCUGGCUGGCAUUUGUUUUUGUGGUCCGCUCACACACACACCCUCGCAGCAGAAGCACACACACACACACACAGGGGCAAAACUGGAAGACCGAAUGCCACCCCCAAAAUAAAAUAAUAUCAAGGGAGAAACGUCAAGUGUGCGACGUUGGCAGCGCUGCUUUUUUACCCAAGUUACAACGCAGGCGCACUUGUAUUCCCCGCUCUCUAUAGAGAAGCAUUAUGUUCCGAACAACCCCACACAUUUCUCCUUUGCAAGUAAUGAAAAAAAAAAAUGGGAAAACCUGGAGAAGGCACAAAGAGAAACCUUCCAGGGAGUUCGUACCCCUUAGACCCAGUACUCACCACGCUUUCGAAACGUUUUCUGGCCAUUUGUUGAGCGGGCUUUAAAGGCCGUACUAGCCACGUUAUCAGGCAAAUGCCAGCCACGCAUUUUGUCAAAUUCAAAGGCAAACAAGGAGAAAGCUGCCGGGUAAAAGAGAGGUUAAAUCCCGAAAAGGUGGGCGAGUGAAACCGAAGCCUGUGGACUAAGCCCGUUCAACAAUCGCUCCAUAAAAAUGUAUAAGUACGCAUAAAAGAAUUUUCUUUUUCUUACACUUUUCCUCCAGGUUUUCCCCUUUUCCCGCUUUAUGGCUUUGUUGCUAGCUCGUCGAGAAGGACUUCUUACAUAUAUUUUUAUGAGAUAAAAUAGAAAAUUUUGUUAUCAGGCAGCAGCGGCAGAAAAGGAUAUAAAGCAGCGGCACUCACACACACACAGAAAAACACACAUUCUAACACACUCACACACACACACAUGGACACAAAGGCCCCACUUGAAAUGGCAGAAAACCCCCUCCCCCUCACCCAUCCACCAUCAAACCAUCACCAUCAACCGCACUGAGUUGCCAGUGCCAACGGAAAAUGUCUUCGGGUUGAGUGCUUUUCCGGGGAAAAUGUAAUUUUCUCAUGGCAGCCAACAUUCGCCGCUCGUCCUCGACGCUCGCUUUUCCUCAGCCCGCUUUUCCUUCCCGCUUUUCCAGAGCAGAGCGUCGAACGUGGCACGAUUGAAGUGUCGGUUGGGUACCUAGGCGAGAAAGGAAACUUAAAGGAUGCUCACAGCCAGCGCUUUUCCCUCCAAGAGCAGUCCCCCAUCUUGACAGUUUCCUUUUCCUGUUGCCCUUUUUCGCCAGCGCCUUGCAAAUUGCUCACGCUUGCCAAGUGUGUGCGGGCAUUGGUGUGUGUGUGCACUGCGAGUAAAUUUGUAACCCAACUGAAUA